CGCUGGCGGCGUGCCUAAUACAUGCAAGUCGAACGGUCUUUCUAUGGAAGCUUGCUUCCACUGAGAAGAUAGUGGCGAACGGGUGAGUAACACGUGGGUAACCUGCCCAUAAGAGGGGGAUAACAUCCGGAAACGGGUGCUAAUACCGCAUAGUUUUCUUGAUCGCAUGAUCGGGAAAGGAAAGACGGCCUUUGUGCUGUCGCUUAUGGAUGGACCCGCGGCGUAUUAGUUAGUUGGUGAGGUAAUGGCUCACCAAGACGAUGAUACGUAGCCGACCUGAGAGGGUGAUCGGCCACAUUGGGACUGAGACACGGCCCAAACUCCUACGGGAGGCAGCAGUAGGGAAUCUUCCGCAAUGGACGAAAGUCUGACGGAGCAACGCCGCGUGAGUGAAGAAGGUUUUCGGAAUCGUAAAACUCUGUUGUCAGAGAAGAACAAGUUGGAGAGUAACUGCUCCAGCCUUGACGGUAUCUGACCAGAAAGCCACGGCUAACUACGUGCCAGCAGCAGC
rnacentral:rRNA from 1 species